rnacentral:rRNA from 1 species
ACGCUCGACACCUACGGGAGGCAGCAGUUGGGAAUAUUGGACAAUGGAGGAAACUCUGAUCCAGUGACGCCGCGUGAAGGAAGAAGGUCUUCGGAUUGUAAACUUAUUUUGUCAGGGAAGAAAAAAUGACUGUACCUGAAGAAAAGCACCGGCUAACUACGUGCCAACAGCCGCGGUAAUCUGAGCGGGCUGGCAAGGC